UGCUUUGCUUUGGCAGCAGACUACCAAAACAGGAAGGACACAGAGAAGAUUAGCAUGGCCCUCCUGCAAAAAUGACAUGCAAAUUUGUGAAGAAUUUCAUAUUUUU